rfam:Gallus gallus isolate RJF #256 breed Red Jungle fowl, inbred line TCD001 chromosome 1, whole genome shotgun sequence.
AGUCCCUAACGAUUGCGAACACCUGAAUGAAGUUGAAGGCUUCAUUUGGUGACCCCGACGUGAUCGUUAGGGAAU